UAAGCCAUAUUUACGCAUGCGCACUAUCAAAGCUACAUUGGUAACUAUGACAACAAAAUUUGCACGCAUGCGCACAUGACGUGAACCGGUCCUUCUUCUGUAAACAAAGCUUCCUUCACAUCAACACUCGAUUCAUUAUUCAAACUCAGAAAUGCCAACAAAAGGUUAGAUCUAGAUCUAUAUGUUUGGAAAGAAAAAAACGUUACUGUAAGCCCAGAGGAAGACAUGCUUCAAAGACAAAUGCAUAAUUACAAAGCUCUGUUUUGGAUACAGCUGGAUCUGAAGCAGCAACAAUGCAGCCUGCAAGUGCAGCUGAACGAAAAAUAAUUCUAACUGCAAUUACUAACGCUGAUAACACCAAUAAGAGGCUGCCUGAAGAUUUCAUAUACGUCAUGAUGAAUUCAAUGGAAUUGACCACAAUGGUCUCCUUGUUGUGCUGUCCACAUUGCUUCGACAAAAAAUUAACCAUGUGCAUCACACAAUCAAAAGGCAUGGCUCAUUUGAUUAAAAUCAAAUGCCUAAAUUGUGAAACAUAUUUGUGGCCUGACUGGACCUAAAAAAAAAGUAAUAAUGUUCAUCUGGAUAUUAAUGUCCGCGCUGUCGCUGCAUUAAAAGAAUCUGGAAUCUCGCAUUCUAAAUUUGAUAGGUUUUGUGGACUUAUGAGUAUGCCCUGCAUGCACAGAAAUACUUAUAACAAUCUAGCUAACAUAGUCAACACUGCUAUAAUUGAAGCUGGUGAAGAAUGUAUGAUUAGGGCAUCUGCUGUUGUGCAUGGAAGAAACAUUUCACAACCUCUGACUUCAGAUGAUAGAAUAAGUUCAACAGGCUGUCCUGUUAUUACAGUUUCUUUUGAUGGGACUUGGCAUAAAAGGGGCCACUCAUCUCAUUCAGGAAUUGGCACAGUUAUUGAUUUUGAUACUGGACUCGUCAUCGACACCGAAGUCCUAUCAAAUUAUUGCUGUGUUUGUGAUUCAAACUCAAACUAAAUUUUGAUGCCUCUAAGCAUAUGUGUCAAAAAAACUUCAGUGGCUCAGCAAAUGCAAUGGAGGCCGCAGCAGCAUCCAAAAUUUGUUCUCACUCUGUGGCAUCAGAAAACUUGUUUAUGGCAUGAUGCUGUGUGAUGGCGAUAGUAAAUCACAUUCAUCUGCCAUUACCAACUCAGGAUAUGAUGUAGAAAUCUUAAAAGAGGACUGCAUUAACCACAUCUCAAAAAGAAUGUUUAAUGCUUUGAACAAUUUAAAAAUGUCUAACAAAAAAGAACUAAAUUAUAGGCUUACAAAGCCAAAACUUGAAAAAAUUACAAAUAUUUUAAAGUUCUGCGCCAAAAUGCUCCUGACAUUCAAAAAAAUGAAGCUGGCUGUUAUGGGCUCAUUUUUUCAUAUGAUGAGCUCAGACCUAGAUCAUAACCACAGGUUGUGUCCUGAUGGCACUACAUCUUGGUGUCACACUUUAAGAGAUCAGAGGCACUAAAACAGCCAUACAAAAAACAUAAUCAGACCAUCACAUCAGAAAUAGGAAAACUGUUAUUUCCUAUAACAGACACAAAUCUGUUAAAAACAUGUUCAAGAAUGGGAACACAAAACGCCAAUGAAUCUUUUCAUUCCCUAAUUUGGCAAAUUGCCCCAAAACAGAAUUCGCAACAUUAAAAACUAAGGAUGGCGACAUACCUUGCUGUUUUAGCCUUCAAUAAUGGCAUUAAAUCAGUUUUUGACAUAUUAGGCGUUCCCUGGACACUAAAGAACAUUUCUUCUAGUGAGAAAAAGCAAAAUGUCAAACUACAGCUUGUUGUUAGAAAAAGAUCAAUCACAUUAGUGUCCAGGAGAAAAAAAUUGAAAAAACGAAGAAUUGAGCAUGAGCACCGGGCAGAGGUUCUAGAAGGUCCAACCUAUCAAUCAGGCCAUUUUAAUGAAUAGUUUUUUUAUUAUCUAUUAUGUUAUAUUAUGUAAAUAUUCCCUUUUUUUUUUUCAUUUUUAUGGUUGCAAUAAAUAUUUUAUAUCAUUUUAAAAACUUUAAA